GACGUAGGGGGCGAGCGUUGUCCGGAAUUACUGGGCGUAAAGCGCUUGUAGGCGGGAAUGUAAGUCGAAGAGUAAAUCCAUCGGCUCAACUGGUGGGCAGUCUUCGAUACUGCGUUUCUUGAGGACAAGAGAGGGAAGUGGAAUUCCCGGUGUAGCGGUGAAAUGCGUAGAGAUCGGGAGGAACACCAGUGGCGAAGGCGACUUCCUGGCUUGAUCCUGACGCUGAGGAGCGAAAGCGUGGGGAGCGAAC
rnacentral:rRNA from 1 species